CGCAAGGCGGGAGGGAGGAAAACAAGAGAAGGCGUAGAGAGAGAGAGAGAGAGAGAUGGGGGAGCGGCACCACCAAGCGGUGGACGAGGUGUUGAAGGUGUUGGGUAAAGCGAGCCGCGACCUCGCCGUCGUACAGCGCCACCUCGACCUCGAAUUCCAGCGCUCCUAUCCUGACCACGCAAACCCUUGUAAGAUCGUUGCUCGGAUGAAGAAGAUCCAAGAGGAGCUGGUGGCUCUCAAGGAACUGUGCCGUGAGCUCCUCGCAGAAAAGCAGGAUCUUAUAGACAAAGCGAGGACAAUUUUGGUAGGGCAGAGGAGUUCAUUGCAACGCUUGCUUGCAUCUUCUGGUCUGCCACUUUUAAGUGAAUCUGAUGACAUUGCAUAUACAAACUUAAAUCAGGGCCUAUGGAGCUUAUGCUUUAAAUGACUUGGAUUGAAGUGGUUGGGAAUAGGAUUGCCAUGAUCAUCUAGAAUCAGGCCUGUAAUGACAUGGGUUAUUGAUGAGUGGACAGCUCAAGUGAGAGGAAAGACAGGAGAUGAGAAAAAUGCUGAUGAGGAUAUUAAUCAGAUGCUGUUCUCAGCAAUUGUUCAGAACAGCUGAGGUCACAGGCAAAAUGCAGCAAUGUGGAAGCAGGUUGUUAAAUUAUCGCCAGCAUUGUGUGAAAUGUGGAUGGAUUUGUCUAUGCAUUUUAAGAUGCCUUGAUUUUCAGUUCAAACAACCAGCCAUUCCCCCGCUUUAAGUGUAUAUGUGGGUCACCACAGAAAAAUCAUCUGAGAAACGUGUGGAACUUUACACCUGCCUCCGGAGGGGUUGGAAAGUGUGAAGUGAAACUGCCCCUUGACAAGCACAUGUCCUUCGUUGUGUGUCAGUAUACCACAUUUGAGGUGAAUUUGCUGUCAACCACUAAUAGAGUAAUGUAUCAUACUUUUUAA